rnacentral:rRNA from 1 species
GUGGGGAAUAUUGGGCAAUGGGCGAAAGCCUGACCCAGCCACGCCGCGUGUGUGAAGAAGGUCUUCGGAUUGUAAAGCACUUUAAGUUGGGAGGAAGGGCAGUAAGUUAAUACCUUGCUGUUUUGACGUUACCGACAGAAUAAGCACCGGCUAACUUCGUGCCAGCAGCCGCGGUAAUACGAAGGGUGCAAGCGUUAAUCGGAAUUACUGGGCGUAAAGCGCGCGUAGGUGGUUUUGUAAGUUGGAGGUGAAAUCCCCGGGCUCAACCUGGGAACUGCCUCCAAAACUGCAUGACUAGAGUACGGUAGAGGGUAGUGGAAUUUCCUGUGUAGCGGUGAAAUGCGUAGAUAUAGGAAGGAACACCAGUGGCGAAGGCGACUACCUGGACUGAUACUGACACUGAGGUGCGAAAGCGUGGGGAGCAAACAGGAUUAGAAACCCCUGUAGUCC